CCACCGCCACCACCACCACCGCUGCCGCCACCACCACCACCACCGCGGUGUCUACGGGAGACGAGGCGACGCUCCCCGCCGGUGGCGGUAGCGCCUCCAUCAGCUUCAUGGCGGCCAUAGCGGUGCUGGCGAUCCUCCCCUUCGUGGUGUGCACCGCGUGGGGCAGACGGAGCGCCGGCAAACGUGGCGCGGACGAGCAAGGAGGGAGCUCCCCGAGCCUGGUGCCCGAGAGAGAUGCCGUCUCUGCCGAGUGCAGCCUCGCCUCUGGACGGAGGUGUAAGAGGAGAAGAGGUGGAAGACGAGGUGUCAGAGUGGUGGGCGGCUCGUGGUGACGGCUCCCAUUGCUGGUGGCGGUUCUCUCUCUCGCGGCCUUCGUGGCCGCCACUGACACGGAGCCCCGGGGCGGCGUGGACCGGGCUGAUGGCGGCACGGGGAAGUUUGUGUGUUGGUGGGCAAGGCCGCCACUGUAGUAGUACCGUCAUUGUUGCUGCUGCUGUUGUAUUGAUGGUGAAAAGUUAUUUCUCACGCACCCCCUCACCCCGACUUUAUAUUCAAGCUUUUAGUUGUGUGAUGUCCGGUACUCACACAGAGACCCAAAGACUCGCCACAAAGAUACCCAUAGACUCACCACACAGAGACCCACAGACUCACCACACAGAGACCCAUAGACUCACCACACAGAGACCCACAGACUCACCACACAGAGACCCAUAGACUCACCACACAGAGACCCACAGACUCACCACACAGAGACCCACAGACUCACCACACAGAGACCCAUAGACUCACCACACAGAGACCCACAGACUCACCACACAGAGACCCACAGACUCACCACACAGAGACCCACAGACUCACCACACAGAGACCCAUAGACUCACCACACAGAGACCCACAGACUCACCACACAGAGACCCACAGACUCACCACACAGAGACCCACAGACUCACCACACAGAGACCCACAGACUCACCACACAGACCCACAGACUCACCACACAGAGACCCACAGACUCACCACACAGAGACCCACAGACUCACCACACAGAGACCCACAGACUCACCACACAAAGACCCACAGACUCACCACACAGAGACCCACAGACUCACCACACAGAGACCCACAGACUCACCACACAGACACCCACAGACUCACCACACAGAGACCCACAGACUCACCACACAAAGACCCACAGACUCGCCACACAGAGACCCAUAGACUCACCACACAGAGACCCAUAGACUCACCACACAAAGACCCACAGACUCACCACACAGAGAGCCAUAGACUCACCACACAGAGACCCACAGACUCACCACACAGAGACCCACAGGCUCACCACACAGAGACCCACAGACUCACCACACAAAGACCCACAGACUCGCCACACAGAGACCCAUAGACUCACCACACAGAGACCCAUAGACUCACCACACAAAGACCCACAGACUCGCCACACAGAGACCCACAGACUCACCACACAGAGACCCAUAGACUGACCACACAGAGACCCAUAGACUCAUCAUACAGAGACCCACAGACUCAUCACACAGAGACCCAUAGACUCACCACACAGAGACCCACAGACUCACCACACAGAGACCCAUAGACUCACCACACAGAGACCCAUAGACUCACCACACAAAGACCCACAGACUCGCCACACAGAGACCCAUAGACUCACCACACAGAGACCCAUAGUCUCACCACACAGAGACCCAUAGACUCAUCACACAGAGACCCACAGACUCACCGCACAGAGACCCAUAGACUCACCACACAGAGACCCACAGACUCACCACACAGAGACCCACAGACUCACCACACAGAGACCCACAGACUCGCCACACAGAGACCCACAGACUCGCCACACAGAGACCCAUAGACUCACCACACAGAGACCCACAGACUUUCCACACAGAGACCCACAGACU